CCCCCCCCCCCCCCACUUUGGAAAAGUUUGAUCCUGGCUCAGGACGAACGCUGGCGGCGUGCCUAAUACAUGCAAGUCGAGCGGACAGAAGGGAGCUUGCUCCCGGAUGUUAGCGGCGGACGGGUGAGUAACACGUGGGUAACCUGCCUGUAAGACUGGGAUAACUCCGGGAAACCGGAGCUAAUACCGGAUAGUUCCUUGAACCGCAUGGUUCAAGGAUGAAAGACGGUUUCGGCUGUCACUUACAGAUGGACCCGCGGCGCAUUAGCUAGUUGGUGGGGUAAUGGCUCACCAAGGCGACGAUGCGUAGCCGACCUGAGAGGGUGAUCGGCCACACUGGGACUGAGACACGGCCCAGACUCCUACGGGAGGCAGCAGUAGGGAAUCUUCCGCAAUGGACGAAAGUCUGACGGAGCAACGCCGCGUGAGUGAUGAAGGUUUUCGGAUCGUAAAGCUCUGUUGUUAGGGAAGACCAAGUUCGAGAGUAACUGCUCGCACC
rnacentral:rRNA from 1 species